rnacentral:lncRNA from 1 species
AUAAAACCAAAACUCAUAUGUUAACAAAAACGAUACAUAGGUAGAGUAUACCUAUUCAUAAAGAACUCUAAGAAUAGACAAGAUGAAAGCCUAUUAUACCAAUAAUAUGAGUCUCUAUGAAUAAAAUCUAAAUUAGCUAGCUUCUUGACAGAAAAACCUUUCUCGGAUCUUUAUUUUUAAGCUUUUCAGAUGAUCAAGAUUUAAAGUGCUGCAAC